ACAACUGCUGACGGCACGCACUAAAAGGCCGUUCUGGCCCAUAUACCAAGCCAAGAUAGCGAGCGCUAUCUUUGGCAGGUACUACCUGGCCUGAUAGCCGUAACUGUUGACAUCUCCCGCUAAGUUCCGACUGCUGGGUGCCGUCACAUGCAAAAACAAGCCUUUCACACUUUGAGACAUUUGGUCGCAUCCCAAAAGCUUCACAAAACAAGUCCACAAGAUGUAGCAACUCAGACAUUCGCUCUACUGAC
rnacentral:lncRNA from 1 species